rnacentral:misc_RNA from 1 species
GAUGAAGAACGUAGCGAAAUGCGAUAAGUAAUGUGAAUUGCAGAAUUCAGUGAAUCAUCGAAUCUUUGAACGCACAUUGCGCCCGCCAGUAAUCUGGCGGGCAUGCCUGUUCGAGCGUCAUUUCAACCAUCAAGCCCUGCUUGCGUUGGGGUCCUGCGGCUGCCCGCAGGCCCUGAAAACCAGUGGCGGGCUCGCUAGUCACACCGAGCGCAGUAAUACAUCUCGCUUUGGGCGUGCGGCGGGUUCUUGCCGUUAAACACCCCCUUUUUACCAAGGUUGACCUCGGAUCAGGUAGGAAUACCCGCUGAACUUAAGCAUAUCAAUAAGCGGAGGA